GAUGAACGCUAGCUACAGGCUUAACACAUGCAAGUCGAGGGGAAACGACAUCGAAAGCUUGCUUUUGAUGGGCGUCGACCGGCGCACGGGUGAGUAACGCGUAUCCAACCUGCCCAUCACUUGGGAAUAACCUUGCGAAAGUAAGGCUAAUACCCAAUGACAUCCCACGAAGACAUCUGAAUGGGAUUAAAGAUUUAUCGGUGAUGGAUGGGGAUGCGUCUGAUUAGCUUGUUGGCGGGGUAACGGCCCACCAAGGCAACGAUCAGUAGGGGUUCUGAGAGGAAGGUCCCCCACAUUGGAACUGAGACACGGUCCAAACUCCUACGGGAGGCAGCAGUGAGGAAUAUUGGUCAAUGGGCGAGAGCCUGAACCAGCCAAGUAGCGUGCAGGAUGACGGCCCUAUGGGUUGUAAACUGCUUUUAUAAGGGAAUAAAGUGGGUCUCGUGAGACUUUUUGCAUGUACCUUAUGAAUAAGGACCGGCUAAUUCCGUG
rnacentral:rRNA from 1 species